rnacentral:tRNA from 1 species
CGGGGCGUGGCUCAGCUUGGUAGAGCGCUCGGUUCGGGACUGAGAGGUCGGCAGUUCAAAUCUGCCCGCCCCGACCA